rnacentral:rRNA from 1 species
GACGAACGCUGGCGGUGUGCUUAACACAUGCAAGUCGAACGGAUCACAUGAUUUCGGUUGUGUGGUGAGUGGCGAACGGGUGAGUAACACGUGAGUAACCUGCCCCCUUCUCUGGGAUAACUGUUGGAAACGGCGGCUAAUACCGGAUAUUCACUUUCUCUCGCAUGGGGGUUGGUGGAAAGUUUUUUCGGUGGGGGAUGGGCUCGCGGCCUAUCAGCUUGUUGGUGGGGUAGCGGCCUACCAAGGCUUUGACGGGUAGCCGGCCUGAGAGGGCGACCGGCCACACUGGGACUGAGAUACGGCCCAGACUCCUACGGGAGGCAGCAGGUGGGGAAUAUUGCACAAUGGACGAAAGUCUGAUGCAGCAACGCCGCGUGCGGGAUGAAGGCCUUCGGGUUGUAAACCGCUUUCACCAGGGACGAAUGUGACGGUACCUGGAGAAGAAGCACCGGCUAACUACGUG